CAGCCAACAUAAACAUAAUAUCACAGCGUCCCACCGAUAAUGUUUUAGUUUUAGAAGGCCAGAAAAGAUGCUUGACUGUUGUCUACAUUCAUGCAAAUACCCAUAUCUGAUGGUUGAAGUGUUAUUCCAAAACCAUCUUCAUUCAUCUGCUGCUUUAACAGCCUCCACUCUUCUGGUUCCAGGCUUUCCUUCAGAUUUUGCAACCUGGCUGCAAAGAUUUACUCCCAUUCAAUCACAAAAGUACAGAUCUAUGAUGAAUCUUCUUCUGGUCUUACAUGCUCAGAUAAGUACUUUUAACACAGCUAGAUCAGCUGUUAAUACUGUAUUUUUGUGAUUUAUCCAUGUGGACAUAAUUCUAAAUUGGUGUUGGAUGAUGUUGAUGUUGCAGGUCAGUCAAGUUCUUCCAAACUGGGAAAAGCAUUUCUUUAUGGAGUCAUGUUGAAACAGGGAAGGACCCUCACAACAAUGCUGCUGGAAGCACACCAUUGUCUAAAAAUUUAAUGAUUUAAAAUCUGGAUGAUUGCAUCACUACUUUCGGAGCAGGACCACAAUAGCCAGUGAGAGAGACGAGUCUGCAAGGAGAUGGAAGUGAAUGAGAGGACUUUUGAAAUGACGACCGUGAAGAAACAACAACAACAAGCUGUUGUACAGGUAUACACCAUUACCCAACCCUACCAUGAGCUAAUAAAGGUGAUGACUGAUUGAUCCACAACGGACAAAUAAAAGACCCUUUUAAGACAGUUUA